AGAAGCAAAAAGUGAGAAUAGUGUGUGACAAUUCAUAAAACUCCCCGAGUACAUUUCCUUAAUAUUUAGUCCAUAUAUACAUGAACGGUAAUAGCAUUCAAUAAUCAUGAAUAGCAAAAACAGUGAUUUCUCAGUCGAUUUGUGAAUCGAUCCUGCAAGUAACGGAACCUGCUCUAUUUUAAAGACGUCAUAACAUGAUCAGAACUCGUAGUUUUUUCCAGUUCUUUCGAACUUUAAUGAGUAGCAAGAAUGUAUUAAAUGUCCUUUUUUAUAAAUGUUCGUAUCAAGCAAAAUUGUAUCAAUGUCCCUUUUGAAAAACACUUAAAGCUACGUCUAUAAACUGUGAAGGCUUAUGAGACUGUGCCGCUUAAGCAGAAGCCUUAAACAUAUUAGCUUGUGUAGCAGAUUUGUAAAGUACGCUAUCAGAUGUUACAUAUUUAGCAAAGCUCUUAAUUGAUACGUGGAACAUAUCUGUAUACGCAAGAAAUCCUUGUUUUCAGAAUUCGGUUCCUAAAAAGCCUCGACAAAAUGCAUUAAAACAGCGUGUGUAGAUUAUCUAACAACCAGUCAUAUUCACUUUAACAAUUAAGAUAGCAUGUUACCUAUUUAGGGUGACAGUACUUAAGGUCUUCAACGUUACAUAAGUAAGUAUUCGGGGAAACAACUAUUGAUUUAAAGAAUUGGGUAUCUUAAAACCGUCAGAAAUAAUGAUGUCGUAGCAUUUUAUCGUCACAUUAAGCCCAAGUCAAAAAUACAAAUACAAAUUAUAUUAAAUUCCAAAUAGUCAUAGCGAUGUAAAGUGCUCAUGCCUCAUAGUGACAUAGGUCGGUAUACAAAGGGAUGAAACAAAGUUGUAUGGACUUCCUGACCGAAUGUAAAGUGCACAAAUAUAGAUUAUCGUAAAACUCAAUGUCAAUUGCUAUAUUGGUGAGGCUCGGAAACAGACAAUGUGUAUAUAAGUGGAUAUUGAAUCUCUAUAUUUACGGUGUCAUUUGUGUUAAGUAUUGAUUUAAUGGUUAAAUAUAACAACUAUAGAUAUAUUAUAUAAAUCCUUCACUAUUAUGUCAAAAAAGAAUAUAUUCCUAUUUCGAUAAUAGUGAGCUAAAAGCACUUACUAACGUGACUUUCCAAUUUUUCUUUCUUGAGCGAUUGCUGCACGCAAUUUGGAUGUUUCCGGGAGAUAAAAAAAUGUAUCAAAUAUUGUGACGAUUUAUUUCCUGUUCAUAUUAUUUAUGACACAUAAACUUCUUGUUAAACAAUUCUUAGCAGUUUAAGUCCAUACAAUUAUAAGUCAAUAAGUGUGUUGGAUUCGAAAGAAGGCAUGCAUUUUACAUAUCCAGAGAUUUUCGGGGAAUGCUUACUUCUGAUACUUGCGUUUCGAUUAAACUUAUAUGCUCUUGCACAAAGUACUACAUGUGGAACUGUCAAUGGAACCAGCGAAGCAAACAGACUAUUGGUGCGUUUUGCACCAAGCGACUACUUCAAAAAUAAUUUUCUGGACUUCAGAUGGGUAUUUGGUAGAAACGUCAUUAGUCAGCUCAACCUCACUUACAAAUACAAUAUAGAUGGGUACAAUUUAACAAUAACGAACCUUUCUUCGAAUGACAGUGGGGAUUAUUAUGUGGACUGUUGGAAAUCCGGAAACACAUAUGAAAGUACACACUGGCUUUCGAGACUUCUACCAGCAAAACGACCUCGCUCUCGACCUUGAGCAAACCUCCACAAGAGACCCAAGCAAAUGCAACAACUAUUUUUCCUACAUGGUUGGAUACAAAACCCACCACAUUCAGCAGUACCACCAUUAUAUUGACCAAAGAGCACGAUCUGGUUCAAGCAAGCAGCCAUAAUGACACGCAACCUUUGAGUCAGUCAACUAUAAUUAUCGUGUGUGUUUGUUGGUUUUUUGUAGCUUUAAUCGCUGCUGGCACAGUGGUCGUCAUUCGCGUCAAAGGCAAACCUUCGAAACCAAGCAGACCUAAGUCCACCAUUAUCCCCCAGGAAGGAACAAGCAAUGACGGGCGGCCUGCUGCCAGUAUGUAUGACGAAAUAUCAAGUCCAACCACAAAAAAGUCAGGACGCAAAAGCGUCCGGUUCAUGCGGCGUUCAAAACGACGACUCCCGGAAGUACCGAUGUGUGCAUAUCCACCGUCUGAAAACCCCUAUGCAGACAUUCCUGUGGAUGAACCAGCCAUUGAAAAGACUGUAGACUCCAAUAAACCGGAGCUGCAAUAUGCCGAUUUGGACCUUGUCACUACGUCGAAGGACGAUAACGGGGCACGUACAAAAACCAUGUGCAAUGCGGUUGAAGAAAAUACUGUUAAAUGCCAAUACGCGACCAUUGACUUUGAGACAAAGGCAUUUGUUGCUCCUGUUCGAAAAGCCCCCUCUUCCUGGUACAAACGAAAGAACAAGAACAGGAAUGACACGUGAACAAAACUCGCGAAUAUGUGUUAUAUAUUAGUUAUAUAUGUGUUAUAUAUGUGUUAUAUAUCUUGAUCCAGAACAUGCAAAUAUUGCAAAUAUCUAUACAUCCAUUUAUGCUUCCAAAAGUAAGUAUGUUUGAAGUCUGGCUGGCACAGGGGGACUGGUUAUAAGACAUCUUAGUAUGUGCAUAACUUUAAUAACUAAGUUGAAUAAAAUAAAUGUUAAAGGAACGCAAUAAAUCAUCUAUGAUGUAAAACAACAGUAGUUAAGCGGUUUUCAUUAAAGCGACGCUGAUGUAAGAUAAAUUAUAUAUGUUUAUUUAACAGCCUCUAAAUGUAUGUAUUUUAAGAGAGCGUGCUAUGCAUAGUGUUCGUAUUGUUGGUAAUAAUUUAUGUGCAUGUGUUUGUUUGUUUUUCUUCACAUUUUAACAUGUAAAUGAUCAUUUCAAUUUUCAAGUGUAAUAAAAACCAAAAGAGAUU